GGUUUAUCUAGGACAGGGGCCACUAGUUUAAUAUUCUGGCUUCUUCGCCUUAAUCUCAGUGGUCCUGCGAGGCCAACCCAUUUCCUCCACGCUAGAGGAUAUUUGUCCCUUUGGCCGAAUCAUAGUUAGCCGCCUCGCACGGUUGCAUAGAGAGGGCCUCACUUGUCACUCCCUUUCUAUCUUAUGCUUUUAGUUGUCAUCGAGAGGCAAACACACCGACACAACGUUUCGGUGGCAGCUAUUUUCUUGCACCAAUCGAUAGAUAGAGCCUCUCAAGCCACUUGGCUUCUAGUAGGGCCUCACCUGUCACCACACUUAGGAAAUUGUUUCGCCAUCUGGCAUUAGUAAGCCAGCCAGUAACCAAAAUAUGGUACAGUGGCUGAUUAGGUCUUGACUAUUUUCUUUUAGCAUGUCCCAUCUACCUGAAGACACAGACAAUUUGUAUUUCCCCAGUUCUCUGGUCAGAUCCUUGUCGCCUUCACGAAGGUCAUGGACCAUCCCUCGCAUUACUGCAGAACUUCGUAGACGCAAUAUUCCUUUUCCUGCCACGGCCAGGAAAGCAGAGCUAUUCAAACUCUAAUACCGAUAACUCAGGGGCGGGAGAGAGAACUAGUGGUCCAGGCAACUCAGACCUUCACGCCAUGGUUGCUUCACUAGUAGUAUCUAUGGGCAAGGUCAACGAUAGACUGGAUAGGAUCGAGGCUCGGAGCCCUCCUGUUAUGUCUUCUAUGCCCUCGGCCACUGUACUCCCCAAGGCUCCACUGUUGCAAAUGGGUAAUUACGUACCUUCUGGUUCUGAAACCCACAUUAUCAUUCCAGUGCAUAUGGUUCCAGCAAAUAUUAAUAAAGACAUCUUGGAGGGGAAAGAUGUUAAUCUUGUUGCAUUACUUAUUGCCUCACACAAUGCCAUACAGAAUCGCACUUAUGCUUAUGGUGAUAUUUCGGUGGUGUUAAAGGCCAGGGAUCCUAGGCUUAAUAAGAAAC